rnacentral:rRNA from 1 species
ACGACCAUACCAUGCUGAAAACACCGGUUCUCGUCCGAUCACCGAAGUUAAGCAUCAUCGGGCGCGAUCAAUGCUUGGGAGGGUGACCACCUGAGAACACCACGUGCCGUUG